rnacentral:tRNA from 1 species
GAAGCCAAUGGAUAAGGCGUCGGACUUCGGGUCCGAAGAUUGCAGGUUCGAGUCCUGCC